rnacentral:rRNA from 1 species
AGUGAACGCUGGCGGUAGGCCUAACACAUGCAAGUCGAACGGCAGCACAGUAAGAGCUUGCUCUUACGGGUGGCGAGUGGCGGACGGGUGAGGAAUACAUCGGAAUCUACUUUUUCGUGGGGGAUAACGUAGGGAAACUUACGCUAAUACCGCAUAUGACCUACGGGUGAAAGCAGGGGAUCUUCGGACCUUGCGCGAUUGAAUGAGCCGAUGUCGGAUUAGCUGGUUGGCGGGGUAAAGGCCCACCAAGGCGACGAUCCGUAGCUGGUCUGAGAGGAUGAUCAGCCACACUGGAACUGAGACACGGUCCAGACUCCUACGGGAGGCAGCAGUGGGGAAUAUUGGACAAUGGGCGCAAGCCUGAUCCAGCCAUACCGCGUGGGUGAAGAAGGCCUUCGGGUUGUAAAGCCCUUUUGUUGGGAAAGAAAAGCAGCAGGUUAAUACCCCGCUGUUCUGACGGUACCCAAAGAAUAAGCACCGGCUAACUUCGUG